rnacentral:lncRNA from 1 species
AACUUAUUACCUGAGCAACCAGGUGCAUAGCAUCCGAGAAUGCAUUCCAUUGAUCACCCGUCAAUCACUGAUAACAUCUAACAUGGACUCCACAUGCGUGUGUCACAUGCAUGUCCAAGGAGUAACUGGUGUGAGUGAGAUGAAACAGUGGGAGCCAGCGAUUUUUCAGAGUACUUUCCACUGUCACUCUCUGCGUCCAAGUCUGUCACACUUACAGUGUGGCUUAUAGCUUAGCCCUGGCCACCGUCCUGACACUGCACCGGGAGUAAAUCCAAUUCUUUGGGCUACCUUCACUGACAUACUAGUCAAGUGUUCCUGGCACACCCC